CCCUGGCUUUGUAGUUAGUUGCCAGGAAAGGUUUGAGUUGCCCCUCGGGGGUGCCACUCCCACCCUGCCCAGAUAGUCGGUCAUGGCCUCCACUAGACCAGCUGGAACUUGGGGUCAAACAUAGUACCGUUAGGAUUCAACAAGGAAAGAGAUAGCCGGGAAAUUUUCCAUUUUGAGGUCUGGGGAAAGAGUAGUGAGAAUUCUGGUCUCAGAAGAAAACUGAUAUUUUGUCAUAAAGUACUCCUGCCCUGACUGCUCUAGGGAUUCAGAGGUGCCUCCGUCACAGCUCUACCAGGAAACUCACUAUCUGGGAUGUGCAGGGUGCUAGAGGGUAAGUAGUCAGGAGGUGAGAUGUCAAUAAAAUUUCUUUCUGUUUAAAUCUGUUUAAAGCCCAUUUAAUCUGUGGUUUCCUGGAUCUACAUGUAAUCCCCGCCACAGCAGGGUGAAUUCCCCGAGAGAGGAAAGCUAUAACUUGAACUCAUAACUGAUUUUCCAGAAAGCCCCAGCAGAGCCAAUUUUUGUCCUCUAUGGGCCUGUCUCUCACCAUCAUUUUGGAAAGAUGUCUAGCCGAGGCCCUGCUUCUGGAGGCAUUUGGGUGCAGGCAGGAGCCAAGGUCUUGACAAAAAUAGUUUUUAAAAUUCACUUUUGAUUAUUGCUUAUAUUCUAUCAUAUGAUUGAACCCUAAUUUAUUUUCAUUUUUCAAAAUACUGGAUAUUUAAGUUGCUUUAGAGGGUUGCUGUUAAAAUACACUAAAGAACAUCUUGGUACAUAAGUCUUUCUCUUAAAUUUAGGUUACUUUGUAUU